rnacentral:rRNA from 1 species
UACGGAGGGUGCAAGCGUUAUCCGGAUUCACUGGGUUUAAAGGGUGCGUAGGCGGACUGAUAAGUCAGUGGUGAAAUCUCCUCGCUUAACGGGGAAACUGCCAUUGAUACUAUUGGUCUUGAAUUCGGUUGAGGUGAGUGGAAUAUGUCAUGUAGCGGUGAAAUGCUUAGAUAUGACAUAGAACACCCAUUGCGAAGGCAGCUCACUAAGCCGAUAUUGACGCUGAGGCACGAAAGCGUGGGGAUCAAACAGGAUUAGAACCG